AGAGUUUGAUCCUGGCUCAGGAUAAACGCUGGCGGCGCACAUAAGACAUGCAAGUCGAACGAAGUCGUUAUACUGAUUUUGAAAUGAACUGCGAACUUGUUCAAAGGGACUUGAUGAAGAUUAUAACAAUGGCUUUAGUGGCGGACUGGUGAGUAAUACGUAAGCAACCUGCCUAUUAGAGGGAACAACAGUUAGAAAUGACUGCUAAUACCGCAUAUGCCAUAAUGGAGACAUCUCCAUGUGGGAAAGGAGUAAUCCGCUGAUAGAUGGGCUUACGGCUGAUUAGCUAGUUGGUGUGGUAUGGCAUACCAAGGCGACGAUCAGUAGCCGGAUUGAGAGAUUGAACGGCCACAUUGGGACGAGAUACGGCCCAGACUCCUACGGGAGGCAGCAGUCGGGAAUAUUGCGCAAUGGAGGAAAUCUGACGCAGUGACGCCGCGUGCAGGAAGAAGGUUUUCGGAUUGUAAACUGCUUUAGACAGGAAGAAGAAUGACAGUACCUGUAGAAUAAGCUCCGGCUAACUACGUGCCAGCAGCCGCGUAAUACGUAGGGAGCAAGCGUUAUCCGGAAUUAUUGGGUGUAAAGAGUGCGUAGACGGGAGUUAAGUUGGUCUGUGAAAUCCCUCGGCUCAACUGAGGAACUGCAACCAAAACUGAUUUUUUGAGUGCUGGAGAGGAAAGUGGAAUUCCUAGUGUAGCGGUGAAAUGCGUAGAUAUUAGGGGAACACCAGUGGCGAAGGCGACUUUCUGGACAGUAACUGAC
rnacentral:rRNA from 1 species